GUGCUCACUUUGGCAGCACGUGCACUAAAAUUGGUACAGCACAAAGAAGAUUAGCACGGCUCCUGCACAAGGAUGACUGGCAAAUUCGAGCACUGUUCCGUAUUUUU